rnacentral:rRNA from 1 species
CCUACGCGUGGCAGCAGUGCGGAAUAUUGGUCAAUGGGCGCGAGCCUGAACCAGCCAAGUAGCGUGAAGGAUGACUGCCCUACGGGUUGUAAACUUCUUUUAUAAAGGAAUAAAGUGAUGCACGUGUGCCUUUUUGUAUGUACUUUAUGAAUAAGGAUCGGCUAACUCCGUGCCAGCAGCCGCGGUAAUACGGAGGAUCCGAGCGUUAUCCGGAUUUAUUGGGUUUAAAGGGAGCGUAGAUGGGUUGUUAAGUCAGUUGUGAAAGUUUGCGGCUCAACCGUAAAAUUGCAAUUGAUACUGGCAGUCUUGAGUACAGUUGAGGUAGGCGGAAUUCGUGGUGUAGCGGUGAAAUGCUUAGAUAUCACGAAGAACUCCGAUUGCGAAGGCAGCCUACUAAACUGCCACUGACAUUGAUGCUCGAAAGUGUGGGUAUCAAACAGGAUUAGAUACCCCAGUAGUC